UACAGAGGGUGCGAGCGUUGUUCGGAAUUAUUGGGCGUAAAGAGCUCGUAGGCGGUCUGUCACGUCGGCUGUGAAAACCCGAGGCUCAACCUCGGGCCUGCAGUCGAUACGGGCAAACUAGAGUACUGCAGGGGAGACUGGAAUUCCUGGUGUAGCGGUGAAAUGCGCAGAUAUCAGGAGGAACACCGGUGGCGAAGGCGGGUCUCUGGGCAGUAACUGACGCUGAGGAGCGAAAGCGUGGGGAGCGAACAGG
rnacentral:rRNA from 1 species